GAGACGGCUGUCAGCAAGCCUACACUCAAAGGAUUUACCCGGUGCAGAGAGCUCCAAGAGAACACCAGAGCCCCUGGUAUUCUGGUUCACUUGAAUUUGUCCUCCUGCCUAUUCCAUAUUUUUUUCACACAUAUAAUCAUUUGUUUGCAGUCCGGAAAUAUAAAACCAUUCAAGAAACGGAGGCCCAACUAUUGGCUUCCCGAUUAUUCUACCAACUCUACCAAAUCCUUGUUCUUCGUUGCACAAUUAGCUGUGAAACAGACAGAGGUUACCUACAAUAAGUGCAUGUCAUUUUGGACUAGCCAUAUUUCAAGGGCUCAGUAUGGCUAAUGGCCACUAUAUUGGACAUCGACGGUCAAACCCAUUUUACAUUCCCCUGACAACUAUGAUUGGUGUGAGGCCUAUGAUGGCCCAACUAGGCUGACAGCAAAGAUCUUUCCUGUUGGCAAAGAUCAUCUUUCUCUCUCCUGCUGGCAAGAACAAGAAAGAAUAAAGGUCUGAUCAACCCAUGAGCUUUCUUGGGAUUUAUGAGGAGAACCAGACUUUGGAUGAAACUGACAUUGAAAUGAGCAGGAUGGAGAGAAAAAUCCUAGGGGUUUGGUGACAAUACUGGGCUGCUGAUUAAACUUGGAGUUUGCCCUGACUCUGAACUUUCUAUUUAGUGAGAUAAUAAUUGUCUCAAUUGUUUAAGCUAGCUUGUGUUGCUUCCAGCUAAAAGAGUGCCAGCUAUAUACAAUGUGCAAGCUGACAUGUUGUCAUGCUCUGACACUGAUGAACACACCCCCACAAGGCUGUGAAGUAGUAGGGGAAGAACUAACCUGCAUGGAGUUGGAAGGGGGGGAAAAACAAAAUCAAACCAUAUGGAAAGCAGUUGAAUUCACUGCAUUAAAUAUACUUUUUAAAAUGUACAACAUAAUAGCCAUAUGUUUAAGUCAGAAUCAUCUGCAAAGCACGCAUGUUCACUUUCUGUUCCAGAGUCAGGCGUCUGAAUUCUGUGAGCAAAGCCUAGAGAAAAAAAACUAAGCCUAUGCCAGAUUUACAGGAAUAGUUAUCUUUAUAAAGACUAUAUGAACUGUAAUACAAAGUUACAAAGCUGAAGGCAAAGCUUUUCAAUAAAGCAAGUGGCUCUCAAAGAGAUACCUUCAAG
rnacentral:lncRNA from 1 species